ACACCUCUCCUCUUGAUCCCCUGGUGCGAUCUUCCUGGCACCGUUGCCGCGGAUCCGUCGCGGAACCCCUCGGACGCCUCGAUCUUCUUGGAUCCGCCGCUGCCGUCACCGCGGAACCCCUCGGACGCCUCCGCCUUCGUGGGUCCAUUGCUGUCUUCGCGGAUCCACCUCUUCCUCCUCCGUUGCCGCCCCUUUGCCCUACCUGCCGGCAUCGAGCUCAUCUAGCGCGCCUGCCUGGUCGAGGCCCCCGAUUCGUGGGCCGCCGCCGCCGCCGGGGCAGGGCGUGUCAACGGCCGCGGCACAGGCCGCAAGGAAUUCGGGAUUGGCGUCCCUCGCUGCCGCCGACGUACGUCCAGGACCGACGCCCUCGCACUCCCAAAGGCGUGGCGUCGUCCUGUUCCCCUGCCGCGGUGCCGCCUCUGCCGUGCCCGCGGCCGCCACAACGACGCCCCCGCACGUCUCCCACUACCUCGCGCACAGCCCGAGGGUGGCGUGGGAGGCGCUCUCCACCGCCGCGGCGCCCGAGGGCCACGUCGACGACGUGCUCCUCUCCCUCCCCAGGAACCCCAGCCCCUCCCCCUCAUCCGCCGAGACCGUUUCCAAGAACGCGCACAGCUUCUUCCACUAGUCCGCUGCCUCGUCGCCAUCGCCCCACUCGCUUCGCUCCUACUGCCUCCUGGUGCACCUCCUCGACCGCGCGGCCCUCGUUAGCCACGCCUCCGUCCUCCUCCAAGCCACCAUCACCAGGCACUCCUCCUCGCUGGCUUCGCAUUUCCUGGACGCCUUCUUCGUGACCUACGAGGAUAGCGGCACCGCCGCAAUGGCCCGCGGCCUCCACCUCCUGGUGCACGCCUACGCAUAGCUCCGCCUCCCGGAGGAGGCUCUCGAGGCCUGCCGGUACCUGGUGAUCCACCGCAUGCUCCCUUCACUCUCCGCCUUGAACGCCCUGCUGCACGCGGCGCAGCGCACCGGAACUGGGAGGUGUUCGAGCUAAUGACGAUGAAGCGGGUGUACGCCAGCCAGGCCACCAUUGAGUUUGUCAUCGGCGUGCUGAGCCGGAAGGGCACGCUUGUCAGGAUGCUGGGCAUGGUGGAGGAAGAAGGUCGUCUUCAUAGAAGAGCGCGCGCAACAUCCCCUACCACCUCCUACUCGUGCCCUAUUGGUAAGGAGCACACCCUGCACUUUACAGUUAAGUCUGGCCAGUAUGACCGCAUCCUCGUUGGUAUUAACUCACAAUUCUGGCAUUUCCUAAUGUGUAUUUGGUGUUUUCUAAAUUUCCAGUUGUCUAAGUAUGCAACUGACUAAAGUUAAAUUCUAUAGAGCUUCCACUCUAUCUUAUUCUAGGCAUGCUUUGCAGGGUAGUGAGUGUAGGCAGCUGGUUGUUUGGUUCACAAAGGAUUGUGACUACUAAGGAAAAACAUUGGUCUCUUUGUUGUAGUAUGUCCAGCUUUAGCUGGUCUUGGAGCAGGUUUAAUAGCUCUAAGUCACUCCAGCAACAAAGAGAUGUUUGAGGCUGCAUCUCCUGGACAUGAUUAUUCUUCACUAUUACCUCCCACCGGUAGGAGUGAGGCAGAUGGGAGAUGGCCUGAUAGAGAUGAUGUUGAACUAGCAAUUCUAGAAGAUGACCUCGUUGGCAUGGAGUUCAAGACCACGAAGAACCUGGCCAAUUGCUACUUAUCCUUGCUCAAGAGCAUUGUGCUGCGAUAGGCAUUGCCUCAAGUGGAGCAAAGCGAAAGGUGCAUCAACUACGUGGCUGCACCGCACGUGGAGGCUGGAGAAGAAGUGACCAGUGCUCCCCAAGAUCAUGUUGCUUGCCUUUUUCGUCCGUCUCUCUUGAACAACAAGCAUAUUUCCUGCCAUGAGUUCUAAAACAAAGGUUGCAUCUUAUAGCCCGGUGUUGUUGAGCCUGCCCGCCUACUAAUUCAAUUUGAUAAAUCAACCUGAGGAAUCGGUCAUUGGGUGUUAAUGAAGUUGUUAAUUUCAUUCUUUUAGUGUGUGUCAAGAAUAAAUCUUUUAAUUAAGUCACUGUCUAUGCGUAUAAUUUGAUAUAUUUUUAAGACAGCGAACCGCUCCUGUCAAGCGGUUAUGUGUAAAAUUCGUUCUUCAUGAUUCUAACUUUCUAAGUGAUAUUCACAAAAGAAUUCUUGACUAUGAACAUUUAAGGAUACUAACUGGUAUUCACACAGUGCACUUCAGGUUGCAAGGUCAAAAAAUUGCAAUCUUUAUUUGUUCGUCUUGUACUCUUUAGUAAGUAUCAUUGUUUGUUAUCAUCUUGUUUAAAUUUUCUUUGUGCUAUCAUCUUGGUUAAUAAUUCUUUGUGCUAUCAGCUUUGGUUAAUCCACCCAGUUUUGCAUUUACCCCUUAAAAAGAUUCCACUCUCAUUUAUGACCAUGCUUGCACUUUUGAAAUCUUAUUGUAGCUGAAAUCAUUUUGAUAGAAGAAGUGAUCUCGGAUCUGCCAACUAAUAUGAUCAUUUAUUCUUUGCAUAGGGGUAUAAAUUCAGUUGGAUGAACGAUUUUUCAGAAAAUAUCGUGUAAAUGUUCUGAGGUCUCCUUACGUAAUGCUUCAUUAAUUCUGAAGUAGGAUGAGGUCUCCUUAUUCAGUUGGAUACAUGUGUACAAUUUUUAUAUGAUUCAAUCCUUUGUUUUGGCAUGUGGCCCUAUUAUAUAUGCUAAUCCACCGUUAUGUGCCAUACAUCGAAGUUCUUAUGUUAGCGAGGAAUUCUGUAAUUCAAAUGCAUGGUCAUAAAGGUAUCUUAUUCCUUCAUCAUGACAUUUCAUUAUUUUGGUGUGCAAAUAAAUUAACAUAGAUAUAUCAUAUAUCACAUGUAAUGGAUAGCUUAUUUUAACCUUGUUGUUUUAUAUUGAGGUUAAUUCUCCAAAAGCUUUUAUAAAACUCUUUCUUCGUACAAUCAGCUUCUCUAGAUAAUUAUGCAGAACUGCAGUCUGCAUAUCUUGAACGCCCGGCAUUGCGUGCGCCUUCAAGCUCAUUGUCUCCAACUGUUUCAGCAAAUUUUAUGACACGUUGAUGGAGUGAGGAAGAGAUAGCACACGUGGAAGGAAACGUAUUAUCACAAUGCCACAUUGGCCAAGUGAAGUGGUUCAUGGUGUCGUAGAAGGAAAGAUGGUUCCAUGAAAGAAGCAAGAAGAACCAAUGUUGAGGGAGCUUCAUAUGAGCAGGGCCCAACUUCAUAUGAAGGGAUCUUGAAUGCUUGUAUUGAUAAAGAGCAUUGCUUUAUCUUGAAUGCUUUUUCUGAAUGUCGUGCUUAAAUUCAUUCUAUGGACAGACUGUAACUAGGAGGGUGAUAUGGAGGAAUGAAAAGAGACAUAAGCAGCACUUGGUUAAAACUUCGGGGAUGAAAUUUGUUUGGCAAAUGAGGAAAUUUUGGUAAAGGUGAAACUAUAUGCUCUAGGUAAUAAUUUACCGAGCAGAGCAUUCAAGUAAUCCCUUUUCAGGCAUGGAUAGGUGUGUUACAACUGAAGGGUUUCUUGUGCUAAUACUUGGAGAUCUGGAUGCACAUGAACAAUUAGCACAUGUUAGCCGCCACAACUUGCGCCACAUGUUACCCUCAUGCACGACAAACAUUGGUGCAUUGAUCUCAAAGGGAUUAUGAGUUGAGGAAGAAAAUUUUAUUAUACUUUCUCAAGUAUCAUGUGAAUGAAGUUAAAAACAUUUCUGAUAUUGUACGAGGCGCGUCAAGUAUAUCUUAGUUUAUAUUGCCUGUGCAAGGUUUAUAAGGGAUUAUAUGUUGGAUCAUCGCUCUCUCAUAUACAUCAUCAACUUAUUAACUUACAUUGCAAGUGA